CACCAUGACACUAGAUUACCAACAGACAUCUGUCGGUAAAAAUAAACAAUUAUUGAUAGACUAUUUAUUGGUAAAGGCUUUUGGCAAAUUAUAUGUCGGCAAUACUAUGUAAUAAGACAUGUUAUAUGUCAGCAAUUCCAAAUAUUUAUUGGGUCAAAAUAACUGUCAGCAAUAUUUAGAGUGGAAACCAAUUAUAUGUCAGGAAAACUUAACGAUAUUCCAUCUGUCAGCAAUGUUUCUUCCGUCUGAUCUUGAUCCCACGGUUCGGAUAGAGCGAGUCAGCGAGGUGAUUGCUCGGCUGAAAAAAAGAAAUCCACGCCAAAAAAUAUCACGCCGAAAAGAAAAUCCACGCAAAAAAAAAACCCUAGGCGCUGUGCCACUUCGUCCGCUUUCCACCGCGCGUCGCCACUUCUCCGCCAAAUCCAUCGCCGCGGCGCGCGGCCUCCUUCUCCUCCUUCUCCGCCGCGGCGCACCGCCACUUCUCCGCCAAAUCCACCACCGUGCGCCGCCACUUCUCCGCCAAAUCCACCACCGCAUGCCGCCUCCACUACCGCUUCCACCAGAUGGGCCGCAAGAGGAAGGCUAGGGUUUCCCGCGACGGCGACGGCAGUGGUGAGGAGGAGCAGGAGCCCGCGCCGGCCGCCGUAGAGAGCAAGAGCCUCUAUGAGGUUCCGCCCGCUGGGGAAUUUGGUGGUUCGCUGCGCGAUCAGCGUGUUUGUGUAUGAGUAAAAUCCACAUUUGCCUCUCGGAUUACCUCUAAUUGAGCAACUACGUGUACCAUUUCAAUGUGCAAAACAAUUGGGGCAAGAUUAUGCCACUGAUUAAUCCAAGUACGAAGUGAGUACUUAUGCAACAGGGGAUAAAUGCUUCUGCAUUUUGGAUACGAAGCAUGCAGGCAGUUGCUUGAAGGCUCAUAUUUCACUUGUGAAGCCUUAUGACUGACAUGGGAGAGUGCUUAUUGGUUUGAUCUUAAUUUUCAGCUCCGAUUUUUGGUUUCGCAGUAGUAGUACAUCUCAAAGGAUUUUCUAGUGACUUAAUCUUAUUUUAAUCUUGCUGGCCUUCCUUCCACGCCGCCGGCAAGCCCCCGGUGGUGCCGCUGACGCCGGAGGAGGUGGAGACGGCGGGGACCGGGGAUGAUGACAAGGAGGAGGAGGAGUAUGUAAGCGACCCCGACGACGUGCCGCUCCCGGAGAUGUGGCACCGGGAGGCCAGCGGUGACCGCUUUCAAGAGGAGAGUCGUGGCCGGCGCAGGUGAGUUCUUGAAAACUUAUACCUUAUCUGCUGUACCCAUAGUUUUGGUAGAAUUGCUAUUGCUCAACAGUAGGCUGUUGUUGUGGCCUCGAGGAAGCCAGAGCUGCAUUAUACUGCAGCAAAGUAAGACGGGCAUAAUCAAAACGUAGUGAAUCUGUGAAUUGAGUCAUCGAUGCCAAAGGUAGGCGAUGAAGCGCGGGGGAUUUAUCACAUGCAAUUCAGGCACUUACCAGAGCAUCUGAAAUCACUUAUUUUGAAUAUGUUGGGUCGUCGUGCUCGAAACUAAAAUCCACAUAGUGAUCAAGCUGUUAGCUGAUAAAAUAUCAGGAAACAUGAACAAUUUUGAAUGAGGUAAUGCCGAAUGUUAAUCCACAGUAAGGGGCCAGUGAAACUACUUUAUCAGGGAGUCCUAGAUGAUAUAUUUUCCUACAAUGAAAUCCAGGGACUUGUGCUAGAUACUUGUUUGUUGGGAGCUAAUGCAGACACACAUUUUCCCAACCUUGGUUCUUGCUGUUAAACAAUAGCACUGUUUCUUGUUGACAGUAAUUCGGAUUUGUGUGUGCUUAAAUUUUGAUGCUUAAGAUGCUAUUCUAGAUUUGUUGUCUCUUUGUGACAGUAGGUAGAUUGUAUAGUUAGAUUUGGAGAUGGAUUGUAUAAUUAUUCUGUGUACAUGGUGUUUUCAAUUAAAUGUAAAUAGUGCAUCCA